UACGUAGGGCGCAAGCGUUUGUCCGGAAUUAUUGGGCGUAAAGAGCUCGUAGGCGGCUUGUCGCGUCGACUGUGAAAACCCGUGGCUCAACCAUGUGGUCUGCAGUCGAUACGGGCAGGCUAGAAUUCGGUAGGGGAGACUGGAAUUCCUGGUGUAGCGGUGAAAUGCGCAGAUAUCAGGAGGAACACCGGUGGCGAAGGCGGGUCUCUGGGCCGAUAUUGACGCUGAGGAGCGAAAGCGUGGGGAGCGAACAGG
rnacentral:rRNA from 1 species